UGCAAGCCGAACGGAAACAUGUCUAGCUUGCUAGAUGAUGUCGAGUGGCGGACGGGUGAGUAAUGCUUGGGAACUUGCCUUUGCGAGGGGGAUAACAGUUGGAAACGACUGCUAAUACCGCAUAAUGUCUUCGGACCAAACGGGGCUUCGGCUCCGGCGCAAAGAGAGGCCCAAGUGAGAUUAGCUAGUUGGUGAGGUAAAGGCUCACCAAGGCAACGAUCUCUAGCUGUUCUGAGAGGAAGAUCAGCCACACUGGGACUGAGACACGGCCCAGACUCCUACGGGAGGCAGCAGUGGGGAAUAUUGCACAAUGGGGGAAACCCUGAUGCAGCCAUGCCGCGUGUGUGAAGAAGGCCUUCGGGUUGUAAAGCACUUUCAGUUGUGAGGAAAAGUUAGUAGUUAAUACCUGCUAGCCGUGACAUUAACAACAGAAGAAGCACCGGCUAACUCCGUGCCAGCAGCCGCGGUAAUACAGAGGGUGCGAGCGUUAAUCGGAAUUACUGGGCGUAAAGCGCACGCAGGCGGUUUGUUAAGCUAGAUGUGAAAGCCCCGGGCUCAACCUGGGACGGUCAUUUAGAACUGGCAGACUAGAGUCUUGGAGAGGGGAGUGGAAUUCCAGGUGUAGCGGUGAAAUGCGUAGAUAUCUGGAGGAACAU
rnacentral:rRNA from 1 species